rnacentral:rRNA from 1 species
GACAGAGGUGCCAAGCGUUAGGCGGAAUCACUGGGCUUAAAGCGUGUGUAGGCGGAAUUCUAAGUACCUUGUGAAAUCCCACGGCUCAACCGUGGAACUGCUUGGUAUACUGGUUUUCUUGAGCCACUUAGGGGCUGUCGGAACAAGCGGUGGAGCGGUGAAAUGCGUAGAUAUCCGGAGGAACACCAGCGGCGAAGGCGGCGUCCUGGACUGGUACUGACGCUCAGGAGCGAAAGCGUGGGGAGCGAUCCGG